rnacentral:sRNA from 1 species
ACAUAGCCCCGAUGGAAGCGGCAUCCUUUUUUAUAAAUUGUCAUUCUGAGGCUCUCGAAGAACAAUUUAUAAAAAAGAUACAGCGGACAGCGGGUUGGGAA